CGGGUCGUCAGGCGGCGGCACGUGGCCCGGCUUGGGCGGCGGGGGUAGGUGGUGGCCUCCCUGCAUGAUUCUCGAGGAAGGACAGUGAGGACCAGCAGUAUCUCGGGAGUGACGUGGAGGAGCAAAUGAUGGGCAGGACAGAGAGUUUUCAUUCAGAUCAGAAGGAGACGAGAAUUUGCAGAUGAGUCCUCCAUCUAAACGAGAAGGAAAAGGAAGGGUCCUUUCCUUCCAAGUUCCACUGGCCACUCCCUAUAAUUGUUCGGGAAGACCUUUCUAGAGUUAUUCGAGAUGGACCAUGGUUUGUGCGAAGGCAAUUCCUAACUAUGCGUAUGUGGGAGCCUCUCUUUAAGCCUUCCAAAGCUACUUUCUCUGCUUUGGCUCUAUGGGGGUCGGCCGCCAAAGCUACCAAUGGAGUCCUACUCCGGACAAAAUUCUCAAGAAGGUGGGUGGCCAGAUCGGGCCGCUGCUUAACAGCCUUGGGAGCAAGAGCACAGUUUGCUAGGUUGUGCAUCCAAGGGGACCUCACAAAGCCCCUGUCUCGGGUCAUAUGGAUAGGAGACCCAUAGGCAAAUCAUCCAAUACGAAGGGAUAGACCAAAUUUGUUUUCACUGCGGAGUUAUUGGGCAAACUCAGACUUAAGUGUCCGGAAAGGCUACCGGGGCCUAGCCCCACCUCCGACAACACCACAACCACCUUUUCGUCUUCUGAUAGCUCGGACAACAAAACCAAUAACCCAGGGCCAUGGAUGCUCGUGUCCAAUCGUCGGAGGUCUAAGCUAACCAAUAACCUAGGGCCAUGGAUGCUAAACAUCGACUACACAAGGUGGAGCACUGCUGAUCAGCGCCGCAACAAAACCCACGAGCAACCACGAAUCUGGGGAAGACGGCUGACGUCAGCCCAUCACGUGCCAAAUCCAUGGGGAAAAAGAAAAAGACAGACGUCACUGGGACACUUGUCGUUCACAGACAGGUCUUGCCACCUCUAGCGGGAGCUAGCAUAGGAGAAGCCUCCAAAAUUCGAAGUAUGCCACCAAGGGACAGCACCCUAGAGAGGGUGCCCGCUGGUACUAUCACCGUACACUCGAAAUUUGGAACGACCACAAGCACGAAGGUGCAAAAUACCCUUCAGCCUGAAAUAAAAGGGCGCACUGGUUCUCCAAAUGCCCAACAAAUCUCAACCAUGGCCCGUUGUACGGUAGCACCCCAAUCAUCAGAGCAGAACAAGCCACCAGUGAAAAUUCCGCUAUGGAUGAAAUGGUCAUAUGCGACUCACCAACCCAAUUGACAGAAGAGGAAAAGGGAAAAACCAACACUACUGCUGAUACUACUGUCCUCCCAUCCACCAACUGUUUCUGAUGGAUCAAGGUCUCCGGACAGGGUAUUGGGGAAGGCUAUUGCGUCACAGGACUCGGGAUGUUCGACCAUAAACCACGGGGAGUUACUUGUCAUAGAAGAGAGAAUCAUCGAGGUUCGUCCCGGAUUCCCAAGAAUGAACGGGUCUCAUAAUCACCGAGGUCCAGCGGAGGCGAUUCUAGCCCUCCACCAACUAUCUCAGGAAAAAGCAGAAGCCAGUCCUGGUCUACCAGUGGUCGAAUAUCUACUGCAGGUAACUGCACCACGGGAAGAGCUGCUGAGAAAUGCACCGAAUCUAUGUAGGCUGGACAUAAGUGUAAGGAUCUAUGAAAUCUACCUAGGUCGGAGCUCCAGGUCCGCAAGGCUUUCUGUUCAAGCCCACAACCAAGCAACGAACUAGCACUUGAUGCCCCAGAUGGUUGGACUCCACCAGACUCCCUUCCUCAUGUUGACAACCAGCAUGGAGAUCAGGCUGUUGAUGAUGCUUCCGAGGAUCCAAGUCGAGUGUAUCUGCAUCUACGUCACGCUUUGGCAUAUGCGAGAGGGGGAGGUAGAAACUUACCUUAGCGUCAACCCAAUGCCUAAUCUCUCCAAUACCCCAGCUGUUCCCAUGAAUAACGAAAUAAGUUGGACACUUGACCAAGCAAUGAAUGCGACAGACCCGGGCAUCUUCCAUAUGAAUAUCUUAGUGUGGAACUGUAGGGGAUCUGGAAGUAGAGAAUUCCGUCUAUCAUUGAUGGACCUUAUACACCAACACACCCUAGACAUCGUCAUAUUGACGGAGACUAGGCUCUCUGGAGAUCGUGCUCAGUAAAUUGCCAGUACAUUCCCCUUCAAUGGCUUUACCUCUGCUCCUGCUUGUGGACUCCUUGGAGGCAUCUGGAUGCUCUAGCGCAUCGAAAGGGUUCAGGUAGAUUUGCUUGUGUCAACAGAGCAGGAGAUUCACACAAUAAUCCAAGUCUCAUAUUCCCCCUUCUCUUGGUUACUUUCGGGCAUCUAUGCAAGUCCUAGAUUAAUGGAAAGAAAGAUUCUUUGGGAAAAUUUGAAGAAGGUUGCACGUGUUUGUCAGCUGCCUUGGGUUGCCUUAGGGGAUUUUAAUGAUAUCACUUCUAGAGAUGAGAAGCUGAGAGGGCCCAACAAUAAUCAUUAUAGAAUUUCUCUUUUUAACAGCA